CUAUAGUAAAGUGUAACUAUAGGCUGUUACUAUAGACUAUAACUAUAGACUGUAACUAUAGGCUGUAACUAUAG
rfam:Xenopus tropicalis strain Nigerian scaffold_458_contig_5, whole genome shotgun sequence.